rnacentral:rRNA from 1 species
UACAGAGGUCCCAAGCGUUGUUCGGAUUCACUGGGCGUAAAGGGUGCGUAGGCGGUCGGGUAAGUCUGAUGUGAAAUCUCACAGCUUAACUGUGAAACUGCAUUGGAUACUAUCCGGCUAGAGGAAUGGAGGGGAGACUGGAAUACUUGGUGUAGCAGUGAAAUGCGCAGAUAUCGGGAGGAACACCGGUGGCGAAGGCGGUUCUCUGGGCCUGUACUGACGCUGAGGAGCGAAAGCCAGGGGAGCGAACGGG